UUAAGAGUCCAUGGGAACGCUCUUCAUUUGAAUUUGCAUCAGAGAUGAUUGAAUGUUGUUUAGACAGAACUUUAAGUGCAAUAAAUAGGACAUUUGGAGACUGCUGGGAAGAUUGAUGAAAAAGGAUAAUGGCUUGGCUGAGACUUUUGGAAAAAAAGGCAAUCAAUUAACUGGACUAAUCUAAAUAAUCUGAGGUGGACUAUUCAUAUCAUUUCAUGGCACAUGAAACACCAGUGCAUACCUUUUUAUACUUUCACAUGGUCAAAGACUUCCUCACCAACUCUUGUAUGGAUCAAUCUUGCAGUGCAUGGCCUUCUAUAGAGAACAUGAAGACAUAGUACCAGCCCCAAAGAGUUUACAGUCCACUUAGAUUUGACAUGAAAUGAUGCAGGGAGAUGUGAUAUCAGACAAGGAGGAAGAAGGGGUGCAUCUUACACAAAAUGAUGUCUGGGUCUCUAUGUACUGACAGUUAUGGAUGAAGAGUUCACGGGUAU